rnacentral:pre_miRNA from 1 species
UUGACCCCUUCCAAAUCGUGGUGUAUAUAUAUAUAUACACCACGAUUUGGAAGGGGUCAAG